rnacentral:tRNA from 1 species
CCUGAUGGCUUAGAAGUUAAAGCGUCUGCCUGCAAUGCGGGAGACCUGGGUUCUAUCCCUGGGUCAGGA